rnacentral:sRNA from 1 species
UAGUGACGGAGCUCUUCAGCCCCGAGGUUCCUUUCGUUUCGGAGAACAUCGGCCUGAAGGCCCCCGUGAAGCACGAGGAGGACGAGUUCCACGUCUUCAAAGACGCGUACCUGGGCCCGGCGGACCCCAAGGAACCCCUCCUGCACGCGUUCAACCCUGCGCUGGGCGCCGACUGCAAGGGCCAGGUCAAGGCGAAGCUCGCGGUGGGCGACAGCGACGGCGGAGAGCUCCUCGGGGAGUACCCCGGGAUGCCAGAGCUCAGCGCGCUGGAGGACGUCGCGCUCCCGCAGGCCCCGCAGCCUCCCGCCUGCAACGUGCACUUCCUGUCCUCGCUGCUGCCCGCGCACCGCAGCCCGGCGGUGUUGCCCCUGGGCGCCUGGGUCCUGGAAGGAGCCGCCCACCCGGGCGUCCGGGUGAUCCCAGUUGAAAUCAAGGAAGCAGGUGGUACUAUUACAAGUAAUAAUACGGAAGAAGCAACUUUGCAGAAUCUUCUUGCUCAGGAAUCCUGUUGCAAGUUCCCAUCGUCCCAGGAACUAGAGGAUGCCUCCUGCUGUUCUCUUAAGAAAGAUUCCAACCCAAUGGUAAUUAUGCUAAAGCAGAUGUGUAGGACUAACAUUAUACUAAAUGCUGGACCCCAUCAAUA